UACGUAGGGGGCGAGCGUUGUCCGGAAUCAUUGGGCGUAAAGAGCGUGUAGGCGGUUCGGUAAGUCUGCCGUGAAAACCUGGGGCUCAACCCUGGGCGUGCGGUGGAAACUGUCGAGCUAGAGGAUGGUAGAGGGGAGUGGAAUUCCCGGUGUAGCGGUGAAAUGCGCAGAUAUCGGGAGGAACACCAGUAGCGAAGGCGGCUCCCUGGGACGGUACUGACGCUGAGACGCGAAAGCGUGGGGAGCGAACAGG
rnacentral:rRNA from 1 species